CUGGAACUUUGGCUCGGCUGUGGUCACCAACAUUGGCCGGUCUACUUUCACCUCUGCUUUCCCCCACUUCCCGGAAAGCCAGGAGAACUCUUUCCUUUCAGUCUGCAGGAACUCCCAAUAUUUGUCCAUCAAAAGAGACAAUUGACAUGAAACUCUGUUCGGCGUAGACUUUGAUUGCAGAUUGUCAAAUCUUCCCCCCGAUGGCGAUUUGCCAAUUCUUAAUGGAUCCAAGUGCUAUGUUGCCAACAUGGGCGAUCAUUUCAGAGAUAUCCGGGGAUGUAUCACAUGUGGGGGUUCCUGCCUAUUUUUUUGUGUUUUGGAGGUUAUUUCAUGUUAGGAUCUCUGUGUCUGGGAUAUAAUUGAUUUAAGCGAG